UACAGAGGUCCCGAGCGUUGUUCGGAUUUAUUGGGCGUAAAGGGUGCGUAGGUGGCAAAGUAAGUUGGAUGUGAAAUCCUGGGGCUCAACCUCAGAAUUGCAUUCAAUACUGCUUAGCUAGAGAGCUGUAGAGGAGACUGGAAUUUACGGUGUAGCAGUGAAAUGUGUAGAUAUCGUAAGGAACGCCAGUGGCGAAAGCGAGUCUCUGGGCAGCAUCUGACACUGAGGCACGAAGGCCAGGGGAGCAAACGGG
rnacentral:rRNA from 1 species